rnacentral:rRNA from 1 species
UACGUAGGUGGCAAGCGUUGUCCGGAUUUACUGGGCGUAAAGAGCGCGCAGGCGGUCGUUCAAGUCGCGUGUGAAAGCCCCCGGCUCAACUGGGGAGGGUCACGCGAUACUGAUCGACUCGAAGGCAGGAGAGGGUAGUGGAAUUCCCGGUGUAGUGGUGAAAUGCGUAGAUAUCGGGAGGAACACCUGUGGCGAAGGCGGCUUUCUGGGCCUUACCUGACGCUGAGACGCGAAAGCGUGGGGAGCGAACCGG